GACGAACGCUGGCGGCGUGCUUAACACAUGCAAGUCGAACGGAAAGGCCCUGCUUUUGUGGGGUGCUCGAGUGGCGAACGGGUGAGUAACACGUGAGUAACCUGCCCUUGACUUUGGGAUAACUUCAGGAAACUGGGGCUAAUACCGGAUAGGAGCUCCUGCUGCAUGGUGGGGGUUGGAAAGUUUCGGCGGUUGGGGAUGGACUCGCGGCUUAUCAGCUUGUUGGUGGGGUAGUGGCUUACCAAGGCUUGGACGGGUAGCCGGCCUGAGAGGGUGACCGGCGACAUUGGGACUGAGAGACGGCCCAGACUCCUACGGGAGGCAGCAGGGGGGAAUAUUGCACAAGGGGCGGAAGCCUGAUGCAGCAACGCCGCGUGCGGGAUGACGGCCUUCGGGUUGUAAACCGCUUUCGCCUGUGACGAAGCGUGAGUGACGGUAAUGGGUAAAGAAGCACCGGCUAACUACGUG
rnacentral:rRNA from 1 species